rnacentral:rRNA from 1 species
UACGAAGGGGGCUAGCGUUGCUCGGAAUUACUGGGCGUAAAGCGCACGUAGGCGGCUUUCUAAGUCGGGGGUGAAAUCCUGGAGCUCAACUCCAGAACUGCCUUCGAUACUGGAGAGCUUGAGUCCGGGAGAGGGAUGCGGAAUUCCAGGUGUAGCGGUGAAAUGCGUAGAUAUCUGGAGGAACACCGGUGGCGAAGGCGGCAUCCUGGACCGACACUGACGCUGAGGAGCGAAGCCAGGGGAGCAAACGGG